CCUCUCUCUCUCGCUCACUCCAUCAUACAAAGUUUCCCUCGCUCUCCGUUUGUCCCGGAGACACAAAGAUGGAUGGAGAAGCUCCUGGAAUGGGCCGCACAAUAGCUUGUGCCACAAGGUGAGCAGCCUCAGCUGCAUACGGCCUUUUUUUGGACUUGAGCGAGGCUCCUCUGCUGACUGGAGAAGAAGUGUGUGAGGAGGGGAUGAGGGGGCUGUGGCUGCCGUGGAGACUGAGCAAGAGGAAAUGUGAGGGCAACGGCGUGAUGGAAUACUAGAACGCUGGAUGUCUGGACAGUAUAACCAUCAGGAUCUUGGUCACCUCCCCCAAUUGCUGAUCUUUCCAUCUCCAGUUUCUGCCUCAAAACAAUCCUGCCUCAGAGGUCUGCAGACAAUGCGUUUGACUUCGUGCUUGACCUCUGACCUGCACUGUCAGCUGUGGAACUGUGUAGAGGCAGGCGUGUGCCUUUCCAGACCAGGUUCAAUCAAUUGCACUUACCACAAGCAUGCCAGUUUCUGUAAGUAGCUGUGUCUCCAUUAGCUACGAAAAUGCACAUAUUGAAAUGACAAAAAUAAGUUUGCUCAAUGGAAACACGUCAAUUAAAACAUUUCUUUUUUAAAUUCACGAAGUUCUUUUGCUGGGAUGAGGUUGUUUUUCAGCCAUACUGAAACAUUGUUUUCACUUGAUGUUGCUACUGAUGAAAACCACGAAGAAGACGACAGGAAGUAGUAGGAAGAUGAUGUCUUUUUUUGUUUGCUUUUUUCAGCCGAUGUGCAGCUGGCUCUGCCAGAGCUCUUUCGGCAUCGCACAGUUUGUAAAAAGUCGUGCGUCACUCAGACGUGUUGAAUCCACAGCUCUUCUGAAAAAUCGGCAACUGCAAAACACAGCUAUCAAGCAUAAGCGGUUUUUCACUACCACACAAUUACAAAUAACUCUCGUAACUGGUAACAUCCGUCCCUGCUGUGGUUGUUAGUGGCUUAUUUUGUGAACAAGCGUAAUCACGUGUGAUUUCAAUUGCGUUUCUUAUUUAAUGAAAAACACCACAACUGCAAAUUUGUGUUUUUUUCGACAUUAGCCAAAUAUAGACAAAGAUUUGCACACAUUUGUAAUGGAAACGCAGCUUGUGUUUCUCUCUGGUCACAGGUUGUGAUUGGCAGUGGCACCUGGCCAGUGAUCCCAGACUCUUAUAAAAGCUGAGUGAAGACUACCACCGUGCGUGCGUGUGUUUGCUCCUCCUCAUUUCCAACCAGAGAUGGAAGGAGGUUGCCACCUCGGGGCAUGCUGGCAAACCCAAAAUGGACUGUUUUUUUUCCUCUCGUGAACCAGUUAAUAAAUUAUAUGUAGACUUUUUCUACUUAAAUUUAUGUCUGUGGGGUUAUUUUGUUGUCGUCUGCUGAGGCCGAAGAGCCGUGACAAAGAUUGUGACGUUUCUUUUUCUUCUCUUUUAUAAUCAGCUCAUUGGAGAUAUUUUACACAGUCAAAUGUGGUUUUUAUGAAACAGUUUAAAUGCCACAGAUCACGCUUCCUUUUCCUGGACGCGUCCGAAACACAGCAGCGUUCCACCGGAGCCUCCAGCCUCCGCCUGUAGGGGAGCCCAGGCGAGGAGGAGGGGCCCGGCUCCGGGUUUAAUGUAGCCGAUUGUGUUCCCGUGAAAAAAGGAACAGUUUCUUCUGUGUUAAUUUUCAAUUUUGUUUCUGUCUGUGUGUCCAGCUUUUGUGUUCAGUUCGUCUUCCCCUCCCAAAAGCCACCACCACCCCUCUCUCUUUUCUUUUCACUUCUCCUCUCGUCAGGCCGUCUAGAUUAUGUUGCUAAGGAGAUUUUUUCCUCCCCCCCACCUUUUUUUCUUUUGCUUUUUUCCCCCUCUUUUUACUAUUUCCCAUUGAUUUGGUGUUAAUGCGUUUUGAAUGCCCCUUGGUGUGUGCCGAGCGCCGGGGGGAGCGGGAGGGGUCUGGCCGAGUGGAGGAAUUUGAAUCUGAAGCGGUGAGGUGGGGCUCCGUGUGGGUGAAGGCCCAAAGAGAGGCACUCAAGUGAGAACUGAAGUGGUUUGCAGAGCUGAGGAGCCUCUCCGCCGGCCGCUGCCCCUCCUCUCCCCGUCUCCGUUCCCUCCAUUCUUUUUCAGGGUCACCCCCUUUACAAGCAGCCCACAGGUGCACUGUCAAUCUUUCCUUUUCAUAUCCAAACCAAACCCAUGAGCAAAACAAACAUAUUAUUACCCUCACUGAGUAAAUGGCUGAAAAUGGGCCCAGCAGAUUGCAGAUCAAAUUAGGUAGCAGAGUUUAGGUCAUGAUGGAAAUGGAAAUGGUUGCAUUAAUAGACUGUAUGAGAGCUCAUUCUAGUAUUAUCCCACUGGAUUUAUAUCACUUUCUCAUUUUAUUACAUACGUUUAGUGCCAACACUCAUUUCCAGUGCGUCGGAUGCUCUUUAAGAAAGAGACAUUAAGGGUGUAACGGCUGGGUUGGUAGUUCAUAUCCCAUAUGGUUCUAUAGACAGACCUGCACCACUGUGUUGGCAUCCAUUAUAAGGUUUUUGAUUGGCUGCUUACGCCUUUGUGUUUCCAUUACAAAGGUGCGCAAAACUGCGUUGAUAUUCUGCUAAUGUAAAGAAAAACAAAAAAACAACACAAUUUCUCUGUUGUGGAGUGUCCA